UGUUAGUUUAACUAAAACGGUGGUUUGUGGUCCCACAAAUGUAAUCAAUUACACA
rnacentral:tRNA from 1 species